ensembl:snRNA U7 U7 small nuclear RNA
AAGUGUUGCAGCUCUUUUAGAAUUUGUCUAGCUCGUUUUAUAGGUUUUACCAGAAACCUCU